AGAGUUUGAUCCUGGCUCAGGAUGAACCCUGGCGGUGUGCCUAAUACAUGCAAGUCGUACGCACUGGCCCAACUGAUUGAUGGUGCUUGCACCUGAUUGACGAUGGAUCACCAGUGAGUGGCGGACGGGUGAGUAACACGUAGGUAACCUGCCCCGGAGCGGGGGAUAACAUUUGGAAACAGAUGCUAAUACCGCAUAACAACAAAAGCCACAUGGCUUUUGUUUGAAAGAUGGCCUUGGCUAUCACUCUGGGAUGGACCUGCGGUGCAUUAGCUAGUUGGUAAGGUAACGGCUUACCAAGGCGAUGAUGCAUAGCCGAGUUGAGAGACCGAUCGGCCACAAUGGAACUGAGACACGGUCCAUACUCCUACGGGAGGCAGCAGUAGGGAAUCUUCCACAAUGGGCGCAAGCCUGAUGGAGCAACACCGCGUGAGUGAAGAAGGGUUUCGGCUCGUAAAGCUCUGUUGUUGGAGAAGAACGUGCGUGAGAGUAACUGUUCACGCAGUGACGGUAUCCAACCAGAAAGUCACGGCUAACUACGUGCCAGCAGCCGCGGUAAUACGUAGGUGGCAAGCGUUAUCCGGAUUUAUUGGGCGUAAAGCGAGCGCAGGCGGUUGCUUAGGUCUGAUGUGAAAGCCUUCGGCUUAACCGAAGAAGUGCAUCGGAAACCGGGCGACUUGAGUGCAGAAGAGGACAGUGGAACUCCAUGUGUAGCGGUGGAGUGCGUAGAUAUAUGGAAGAACACCAGUGGCGAAGGCGGCUGUCUGGUCUGCAACUGACGCUGAGGCUCGAAAGCAUGGGUAGCGAACAGGAUUAGAUACCCUGGUAGUCCAUACCGUAAACGAUGAGUGCUAGGUGUUGGAGGGUUUCCGCCCUUCAGUGCCGGAGCUAACGCAUUAAGCACUCCGCCUGGGGAGUACGACCGCAAGGUUGAAACUCAAAGGAAUUGACGGGGGCCCGCACAAGCGGUGGAGCAUGUGGUUUAAUUCGAAGCUACGCGAAGAACCUUACCAGGUCUUGACAUCUUGCGCUAACCUUAGAGAUAAGGCGUUCCCUUCGGGGACGCAAUGACAGGUGGUGCAUGGUCGUCGUCAGCUCGUGUCGUGAGAUGUUGGGUUAAGUCCCGCAACGAGCGCAACCCUUGUUACUAGUUGCCAGCAUUAAGUUGGGCACUCUAGUGAGACUGCCGGUGACAAACCGGAGGAAGGUGGGGACGACGUCAGAUCAUCAUGCCCCUUAUGACCUGGGCUACACACGUGCUACAAUGGACGGUACAACGAGUCGCAAGCUCGCGAGAGUAAGCUAAUCUCUUAAAGCCGUUCUCAGUUCGGACUGUAGGCUGCAACUCGCCUACACGAAGUCGGAAUCGCUAGUAAUCGCGGAUCAGCAUGCCGCGGUGAAUACGUUCCCGGGCCUUGCACUCACCGCCCGUCA
rnacentral:rRNA from 1 species